GAUGAACGCUGGCGGCGUGCCUAAUACAUGCAAGUCGAGCGAACGGACGAGAAGCUUGCUUUUCUGAUGUUAGCGGCGGACGGGUGAGUAACACGUGGAUAACCUACCUAUAAGACUGGGAUAACUUCGGGAAACCGGAGCUAAUACCGGAUAAUAUUUUGAACCGCAUGGUUCAAAAGUGAAAGACGGUCUUGCUGUCACUUAUAGAUGGAUCCGCGCUGCAUUAGCUAGUUGGUAAGGUAACGGCUUACCAAGGCAACGAUGCAUAGCCGACCUGAGAGGGUGAACGGCCACACUGGAACGGAGACACGGUCCUGACUCCUACGGGAGGCAGCAGUAGGGAAGCUUCCGCAAUGGGCGAAAGCCUGACGGAGCAACGCCGCGUGAGUGAUGAAGGGCUUCGGUUCGUAAAACUCUGUUAUUAGGGAAGAACAUAUGUGUAAGUAACUGUGCACAGCUUGACGGUACCUAAUCAGAAAGCCACGGCUAACUACGUG
rnacentral:rRNA from 1 species